rnacentral:ncRNA from 1 species
GCAGAGUAGGGACACGCGCGUAAAGUGCCUGACCAACGGGGAGUUGUGGCAGGACGAAAGGCCAAACGGCCUGCGGUGCGGGUCCCGCAUCCCACUGC